rnacentral:rRNA from 4 species
GGACAGUGUCUGGUGGGUAGUUUGACUGGGGCGGUCUCCUCCUAAAGAGUAACGGAGGAGCACGAAGGUUGGCUAAUCCUGGUCGGACAUCAGGAGGUUAGUGCAAUGGCAUAAGCCAGCUUGACUGCGAGCGUGACGGCGCGAGCAGGUGCGAAAGCAGGUCAUAGUGAUCCGGUGGUUCUGAAUGGAAGGGCCAUCGCUCAACGGAUAAAAGGUACUCCGGGGAUAACAGGCUGAUACCGCCCAAGAGUUCAUAUCGACGGCGGUGUUUGGCACCUCGAUGUCGGCUCAUCACAUCCUGGGGCUGAAGUAGGUCCCAAGGGUAUGGCUGUUCGCCAUUUAAAGUGGUACGCGAGCUGGGUUUAGAACGUCGUGAGACAGUUCGGUCCCUAUCUGCCGUGGGCGCUGGAGAACUGAGGGGGGCUGCUCCUAGUACGAGAGGACCGGAGUGGACGCAUCACUGGUGUUCGGGUUGUCAUGCCAAUGGCACUGCCCGGUAGCUAAAUGCGGAAGAGAUAAGUGCUGAAAGCAUCUAAGCACGAAACUUGCCCCGA